rnacentral:tRNA from 1 species
GGGAUAUGGCGAAAUUGGUAGACGCAUCGGACUUAAAAUCCGAAGGCUUCGGCCGUCCGGGUUCGAGUCCCGGUAUCCC